GCCGGGGACCACACAGAGAAUAACUUGUCUGAUUACCAGUAUUCUUGGAUGCAGAAGUGCUGAAGAUGAGCACACACACGUACGGAGAAUUUCUGGAGAAUUCAGCUGCUCAGAACAAGAACUGAGAUCCAGAGAGAUGAUGACUUUGCCCAUAGACCAAACAAAGAAAUACAUGUUUCAGUCCUGUGUCCUUCUGCUAUGUGUGUCCAGAAUUGGUGGGUUCUUGGUCUCACUGACUUCAAGAAUGAAGCCGCGGACCCUCACAGUGAGUGUUACAGUUCUUAAAGGCAGUGUGUCCACAGUUUGUUCCUACUGAUGUUCAGAUGUGUUCGGCGCUUCUUCCUUCUGGUGGGUUCCUGGUCUCGCUGGCUCAGGAGUGACGCUGCAGACCUUUCCGGUGAGUGUUACAGCUCUUAAGGCGGGUCGUCUGGGGUUGUUCGUUUCUCCCGGUGGGCUCGUGGUCUCACUGGCUUCAGGAGUGAAGCUGCAGACCUUCGCGGUGUUACAGCUCAUAAAGGCAGUGUGGACCCAAAGAGUGAGCAGUAGCAAGAUUUAUUGCAAAGAGCGAAAGAACAAAGCUUCCACAGUGUGGAAUGGGACCUGAGCAGGUUGCCACUGCUGGCCCGGGCAGCCUGCUUUUAUUCUUAUUUGGCCCCACCCACAUCCUGCUGAUUGGUAGAGCCCAGUGAUCUGUUUUGACCAGGGGCUGAUUGGUGCCUUUACAAUCCCUGAGCUAGACGCAAAGGUUCUCCACCUCCCCACCAGACUCAGGCGCCCAGCUGGCUUCACCCAGCAGAUCCCGCACCGCCGCUGCAGGUGGAGCUACCUGCCAGUCCCGCGCCCUGCGCCCGCACUCCUCAGCCCUUGGGUGGUCCAUGGGACUGGGCGCCGUGGAGCAGGGGGCGGCGCUCGCCGGGGAGGCUCCGGUGGCACAGGAGCCCACGGAGGGGGUGGGAGGCUCAGGCAUGGCGGGCUGCAGUCCCGAGCCCUGCCCCGCGGGAAGGCAGCUAAGGCCCGGCGAGAAAUCCAGCGCAGCGCCAGUGGGCCGGCACAGCUGUGGGACCCAGUACACCCUCUGCAGCCGCUGGCCCGGGUACUAAGCCCUCAUUGCCCGGCCCGGCAGCGCCGUCCGGCUGCUCUGAAUGCCGGGCCCGCCAAGCCCACGCCCACCCGGAACUCCAGCUGGCCCGCAAGCGGCGCUCGCAGCCCCGGUUCCCGCUCGCGCCUCUCCCUCCACACCUCCCCGCAAGCUGAGGGAGCCGGCUCUCGCCUUGGCCAGCCCAGAAAGGGGCUCCCACAGUGCAGCGGUGGGCUGAAGGGCUCCUCAAGUGCCGCCGAAGUGGGAGCCCAGGCAGAGGAGGCGCCGAGAGCGAGUGAGGGCUCUGAGGCACCUCAGAGUGAGGAUAGCUCACUAGUAGCUAUCCUACUUUUAAAUAAAGAACUAGGCUGGGCACGGUGGCUCGUGCCUGUAAUCCCAGCACUUUGGGAGGCCAAGGUGGGUGGAUCAUCUGAGGUCAGGAAUUCGAGACCAGCCUGGCCAACAUGGCAAAACCCCAUCUCUACUAAGAAUACAAAAAUUAGCCAGGCAUGGUGGCGGGCGCCUGUAAUCCCAGCUACUUGAGAGACUGAGGUGGGAGAAUCACUUGAACCCGGGAGGCGAAGGUUGCGGUAAGCCGAGAUUGCACCACUGUGCUUCGGCCUGGGCGGCAGAGUGAGACUCCAUUUC
rnacentral:sRNA from 1 species